UACGAAGGGGGCUAGCGUUGCUCGGAAUUACUGGGCGUAAAGCGCACGUAGGCGGUCUUUUAAGUCGGGGGUGAAAUCCUGGAGCUCAACUCCAGAACUGCCUUCGAUACUGGAAGACUUGAGUCCGGGAGAGGUGAGUGGAACUGCGAGUGUAGAGGUGAAAUUCGUAGAUAUUCGCAAGAACACCAGUGGCGAAGGCGGCUCACUGGCCCGGUACGUGACGCUGAGGUGCGAAAGCGUGGGGAGCAAACA
rnacentral:rRNA from 1 species